rnacentral:misc_RNA from 1 species
UAUUUACAUCAUUAAUUAAUGCGAAAGGACAACAAUGAAAAUGGAAAAAUAUAUUUAGUUUUUAAUCUCUGCUUUAAAUAAUUUUUUGCGAUGGCAUAUUGAUAUUUCUUCGCACGAGAUUAAAAUAAAAAAUAUUUAACCUUCAGUUGAAUCGCUUUUGAAUAAUAAUAUGUAAAUCUUGUUAGGUUUGAUGAUUAAUGUAUUUCGAGAAAGCGCGGAAGAGCUUUAUUUGCCAAGAGGAUGUAUGCUUUUCUACGGGACUUUCUAAGGGAUAAUGCGCUUGUACGAAGACGCGAAAGUUACCUCGGAGCCAGUUCUUUCGCUUGCAUUUUGAGUCCGAAUGAAAUUGCUAGUCUUUAACGAUGUUACUUCUUGCCCGCUGGUUGGUUUUAUAUAAAUCUUAAAUACUUAUACAUAAGCUAAUUAUCCCUUGAAAUGAGUAAUAUUUAUAUAAUGCUAAUAAAACAGUACAUUUCAUUAGCUUCAUUUACUUAUUAGACGAGAAAAAUAUUAAAAAGAGCAAACUUUGUUCAAUUUCUGAUAUAAACGGCUGCAAUCCGUUAACGCCUAUCUUGACUUUCGGUUUAAGUUUGGUUUUGAAGAUAAUGUUUCCGUUGUGAGCUGCUACUAUCAAAGGCUAGUACUGAUAAGCAGUCGAGUGUAUGAACUUGAGAGAUAAGUGGUAUUUUCUGACUAAGUGGUCUACUAUGCUGAAUAUGCACACAGCAUGCAAAGCAAGUUAGUGUUUUAAACAAUUAUGCUGCAGAAAGCAUGCAAUAUAGAUAGAUAACUAUUAGGCUGCUUGUCGCAUGAGAGGAUAGUUUUGAAAGAAACGAUAUAGCACAUGCACAUUCGGGUGACAUGACAUGACUCAGUAGGAGGAAUCAAAGCCAAGAACUUAUCACCACCUCCUUGUAGUAAUGAUGAAGAAAAGUAUGCUGAUUUACCAGCUGAAGGAACAUGUUUAUUACAUCUGGGACAAGAUAAAACUUUUUAAAAAAAUUAUUAAGCACUGCAAAUUAUACUAUUUAAUAAAUAUGAGUUUGACAUUAUAA